GGAAUAUUGGACAAUGGGCGAAAGCCUGAUCCAGCCAUGCCGCGUGAACGACGAAGGCCUUCGGGUUGUAAAGUUCUUUUCUGAGGGAAGAACAUCCCGGGUAGGAAAUGCCCCGGGCUUGACGGUACCUCAGGAAUAAGCAACGGCUAACUCCGUGCCAGCAGCCGCGGUAAUACGGAGGUUGCAAGCGUUGUUCGGAUUUACUGGGCGUAAAGGGAGCGCAGGCGGCUUGGCCAGUCUGAAGUGAAAUCCCGGGGCUCAACCCCGGAAUUGCUUUGGAUACUGUCAAGCUUGGGUUCGUGAGAGGCGAGUGGAAUUCCAGGUGUAGCGGUGAAAUGCGUAGAUAUCUGGAGGAACACCAGUGGCGAAAGCGGCUCACUGGCACGAUACCGACGCUCAUGCUCGAAAGCGUGGGGAGCG
rnacentral:rRNA from 1 species